rnacentral:tRNA from 1 species
AAAAUUAGUCUGAGACAAGAAUGAGCUUCUAACUCCUUGCUUGAACCGUUUGAUUCGUUUCUAAUUUUA